UACAGAGGUCUCAAGCGUUGUUCGGAUUCAUUGGGCGUAAAGGGUGCGUAGGUGGCGCUGUAAGUCGGGUGUGAAAUUUCGGAGCUUAACUCCGAAACUGCAUUCGAUACUGCGGUGCUUGAGGACUGGAGAGGAGACUGGAAUUCAUAGUGUAGCAGUGAAAUGCGUAGAGAUCAUGAGGAAGACCAGUGGCGAAGGCGGGUCUCUGGACAGUUCCUGACACUGAGGCACGAAGGCCAGGGGAGCAAACGGG
rnacentral:rRNA from 1 species